AUUAGAUACCCUGGUAGUCCACGCCGUAAACGAUGAUCACUAGGUGUCGGUGGGUAUGGACCCAUCGGUGCCGCAGCCAACGCAGUAAGUGAUCCACCUGGGGAGUACGUUCGCAAGAAUGAAACUCAAAGGAAUUGACGGGGACCCGCACAAGCGGUGGAGCAUGUGGUUUAAUCCGAAGCAACGCGAAGAACCUUACCAAGUCUUGACAUCCUCCUGAAUACAGGGUAAUGCCUGUAGGCCUUCGGGACAGGAGAGACAGGUGGUGCAUGGUUGUCGUCAGCUCGUGUCGUGAGAUGUUGGGUUAAGUCCCGCAACGAGCGCAACCCUUAUCUUUAGUAGCCAGCAGGUAAAGCUGGGCACUCUAGAGAGACUGCCGGGGAUAACCCGGAGGAAGGUGGGGAUGACGUCAAAUCAUCAUGCCCCUUAUGAUUUGGGCUACACACGUGCUACAAUGGCGUAAACAGAGGGAAGCGAGCCCGCGAGGGGGAGCGAAUCCCAAAAAUAACGUCCCAGUUCGGAUUGUAGUCUGCAACCCGACUACAUGAAGCUGGAAUCGCUAGUAAUCGCGGAUCAGAAUGCCGCGGUGAAUACGUUCCCGGGUCUUGUACACACCGCCCGUCACACCAUGGGAGUCGGAAAUGCCCGAAGUCUGUGACCCAACCCCUGGUGAGCAUGACCGUAUAGAGAGAUAACAGAGCUUACGAAGGAAGGUCUGUUAUACUCGC
rnacentral:rRNA from 1 species